UCAUCUCUCUCUAACCCCUCUCAAGAGCCACCACCGCCGGUGGUGCUUUAAACACCACCCAACUGACACAAUUCCCUUCAUCUCACUACCCUAUCUCCGAAUUCAAGCCCCAUAUCCUCCAAAUCUGCACCAAUCUUCGUACAUCUACAAAAAUCCGAAAAGCCCUAGCUUUUCUAUUUCAAAAUUGAUGGGGUUCCACACCCCAUUUUCACAUAAGACUUCCAUAUACGUGUAUGUCUUUCUUGGUUCUAUCUCUUUGUGUUGUUUUCAUGUCCAAACUCCGACCACUAUUUUCCAGCAAGCUCAUUGGUGACUACUUGUCCGCAAAUGGUCCGUUUUAAGACAUUUUUCUGACUCAGACGAUCGUUUCUUUCUAGCACGACGCUAAAAUCCAACGGGUCCAGCGUUUGCUAAAACAAAACAUCUGUUUCAAGGUCGGGCAACCACUAUUUGUCGCCCUCGGCAUUCGUCUCGUUGCUCGAUUUGUCAUUGAAUCCCUCUGUAUGGUAAAACACCAAUUUCCUUUCCCUAUUUUUAUCUUUUCUGAUUUUUUGCUCUUGUUUUAGUAUUAGUUCUAAG
rnacentral:lncRNA from 1 species